UGAGGAAUAUUGGUCAAUGGGCGAGAGCCUGAACCAGCCAAGUAGCGUGCAGGAUGACGGCCCUAUGGGUGGUAAACUGCUUUUAUAUGGGAAUAAAGUGAGGGACGUGUCCCUUAUUGCAUGUACCAUACGAAUAAGGACCGGCUAAUUCCGUGCCAGCAGCCGCGGUAAUACGGAAGGUCCAGGCGUUAUCCGGAUUUAUUGGGUUUAAAGGGAGCGUAGGCUGUUUGUUAAGCGUGUUGUGAAAUGUAGGAGCUCAACUUUUAGAUUGCAGCGCGAACUGGCAGACUUGAGUGCGCACAACGUAGGCGGAAUUCAUGGUGUAGCGGUGAAAUGCUUAGAUAUCAUGACGAACUCCGAUUGCGAAGGCAGCUUACGGGAGCGCAACUGACGCUAAAGCUCGAAGGUGCGGGUAUCGAACAGG
rnacentral:rRNA from 1 species